CGCGUAGGCGGCGGUGUAAGUUGGAAGUGAAAUCCCAUCGGCUCAACCGUGGAAUUGCUCCCAGUACUGCAUCGCUCGAGGGGGAUAGGGGUUUGCGGAACUACCGGUGGAGCGGUGAAAUGUGUUGAUAUCGGUGGGAACGCCAGUGGCGAAAGCGGCAAACUUGACCCUUCCUGACGCUGAGGCGCGAAAGCUAGGGGAGCAAAACG
rnacentral:rRNA from 1 species